rnacentral:lncRNA from 1 species
AAAGCAAAGAGGUUCCCGAUUAAACUGUGUUUAAAGAAGAUUCCUUGGUGUGGCGUCUUUCUUGCUGGUCAAGGUUGGACGCCGCAAGUGGUGGCCCGUACGGGGAAUUCAGAACUUCUCACAGUCGGGGCAGCGCCGGUAAGUUCCCAAGGAUCAGCAAGACCCGGUGUGGAUUCCAGAGAGACUAAUGAGGAGGUGCAACAGACAAGAUGAAGCCUCCGAUACUGAUCCUGCUGCUGACCUUGAUGACACCGUGGCUGAUCCAGGCCAGAGAACAAAUCCUGUGGGCCAUAGCGAAAGCGUGGCCAAUUCCCUUGCCUGUUCAUAGCACAUCUAAAGUUUUGCCUGUUUUCUUUUCUACUAGUUGUGAAUUGGGCUUGCCUUGUGUCCUGACACUGCCCAGUAUUUAGCCACUAAUAUUUCUCUCAAUGGAGCAUUAUGCUUCUCCCUUAUUAAUAAUUCUAACCCAUGCAUUUGGUUGAAGAAUGGUUCUAUUGGCAAUUGGCUUGAUCCUCUUACUAAUAACCAGAUCUCGAGUGCUAUGCUCACUGAAGCCCUGUCUCAGUUUAGUACAGGCGCUAGUUCUGGCUCUGGCACUGGUACAAAUGGAACCAAAGAUGUAAAUAUCACUACAUUUCUAAUGCUGAUGGAGGGGCUCCGACCCUCAAAUUCACGCUUUAGUCAAGAGAACUCCACUGCU